UCCUCCCCGCAUCCUGGCGCCACCCCGCCCCCACUUCCUCCCUCGCUCCCGGCAUCGCCCCUUCUUCCACCCGCCACCGGCGCCGCCCUCACUCCCCGCUUUCCCCCGCCAUCGGCGUGCCUCCCUGCUUCCAAGCGCCACCAUUGCCACCCUGCAUCCAGCCGCCGCAGUCGGGAGCCACCCUAGUGCCACCAAUCACCGCGACCACCCUACAUCCGCAUCGCUGCAUCCCGCGGCCACUGUGCGCCGUCCAACUUGGCAGUCCAACUGCUUGCUCCAUGCUCGGUCGCUCAAGGAGCUGCGUGAAGGUCACCCCGCGCUCCACCUUCCGGACACGCGACCCCGUCGCCGUGCUCCUGCAGCCACCUCCGGGGCGGUGUGCCCGGCCUCCUCUCUCCUCCUGCCACCUCCUAGCGCCGCGCCGAGCACACCCCGGGCUGCCUCUUCCUCUUGCUUACUCCCGCACGAGGCACGCUGCGCCGAGCACGCACCCGGCCGCCCCCACCUCCGCACAACAAUGGGAUUGAAUGGGAGUGAUCCCUGAACCAUUUCAUUAAAGGCCAUGGUUUCCAACAAUGCUAAUGCUACUAGAAAGGAGCUAUCGGCCAUGAAGCCUCGUGGCUUCUCCAAUUAGCAUGUUUGGCCAGUCCUGAAGCGCCUCCUCAAGCUCUUCGACGAUAACUGGGCGCCCAUCGAGGACGAGAGCUACCGCAUCCUUGUUGACACCAUACUGGGUGGCAAAAGCAAUGAACCAAUACCCACCACUACCCGUCAUUUUUCACAUCAAUUGACGUGCCAAAAAGAGUCCAAGGCUCACCACCCAACGCAGGGUCAGACCAGAUGACCAACACCUCUCCUGCUCAGUAUGACAAGGAUGUCAGUGAUAAUGAAAACCUCCCUCACAGUAGAGCGGCGGAGUGCAUACUUGCCAUCUACAUUUCAGAGCCCCAUCAAUUCAGUGUGAUCUCUCCCGUCCAGAUGGAAGAAGGAGAUCCGUCCAAAGUGUGAGUUUUGCGACGUCGACGUGCAAGUUCUACAAUUUAUUUGUUUAGAUGGGAGAAGGAAAUCAGUCCAACCGACUCAUCUGAAGCGACAUAUGCAGAGCCAUUCGCCUGAGGUAUUGGAAUAAUUCUAUAUUUUUUGUGUUCAUUGGAUUUCUACAUUGUUAGCGCAAGUGAUGCGUUCUGUUUUUGCCUGUUCAGUCCAAGUGGGAGAGCAAAAGUAAGCACUGUCUGCUUAGAAGUUGUGUUUGAAACCCAUUUUUAAUAGUGAAACAAGUAAAUCAGUGUGGUAAUGCUUUAUUGUUAUAGUUCUUAUUUUCUUGCAGGAUGCAUAAAAAAGCCAGAUUCACAAAUUCAUCUUCUAUAUGCUUUUCGGUUCAUCGACUUCCCAUUGGUAAGUCCAAUUUAUUUAGUGUUUCAAUCUUCUUCCUAUAGCACUUGUGCUUGAUAAUGAUGUUGUACACAAAAUGGCUUAUGAGAUAUCUGGAUAAUGUGUAUACUAAUGAUUUUUGGUUAAUAUUUUGUAUGAUUCAUUUGGCAAAGAAGAUUCUUCUUCUUUGUGGAGCUUUAUACAACACUUCUGUCAUCAUAGCCUUUUCAUGUCUGUACAUCUAACAUGAAAAGGUUCGCCUACAAACUAGGGUUCACUUGGGUUAAAAAAAGUAUAUUUUACACACACACAAUGCUUGAAGUUCGAUUACUGAUGCCUAGUAAGUACACUCUGUUUUGGGGAGUGCACAUCUUGCUUAGAAAACAUGGGUAACUUCAUGAAGAUAAAAAGCAUACGUUCAAAAAUCUAGGAAAGCGGUAAUCUGUAGGCCCAUGCUGCAGUGCUGAUGCAUACAUGCCUGCUUCUACCCGCAGUUUUACUAGUUGUUUGUUGAAUAUUCCACUAUGUGUUUUUAGAUGAUAAGUGCCACUGCCAUGGUUGAUGGUGGUAUACAUAAAAAUAAUGAAUUGUUGCAGUGUAGCUGAACUAGAGCAUCGUAGGCUAAUUAAUUGUAGUUUCUUAUUGCGCAAUGACAGUUUGUGUGCACCAUGUUUGUAAGAAUGUUGUUGCUGGAUGGCCACAAAAAAUAGAGCUUAAUUAGUCUCUGCAAUAUGAUGGUUGUCUAGAGAAUUCUUUUUUCUUGUCCAGAGAAAGAUAUAUCUAUACUUGUGUAUCAGUUCAUGAUAUAAGUUUUCAUCAGUUCAUAAUUCUAUCUUCUUAUGAUAGAUAAAUAUACUAGUUUGGAUCUUCAUUAGUUUCAGUCACCCCGCAACCCAGCCGGCAACUCCGCCAUCUCCCCGUGCCGGAUCGAGCUCCAGAUCAAUGCCCCCAUCUACACUUGGUACCGUGACAUUGAGUAGGCGUGAAGUGUAUCACUCCAGCACGCCAAGCUCCAGUGCAUGUCAAUGUCUUCUCCACUGCAAUGGAAGCUCCUCCGUUCGAGUUGAGCAUUGGUCAUCGUCCAAGUUGAGCACUAGGUGCCGUCCAAGUUCAAAGAGGAUUGUAUGCAAGUACAUAACUUUGUUUUAGUGAGAAAAAUACGGGGUUUUGACAAUAUUCUGUAUGAUUCAUUUAUUCAGUCUUUGAACUUGGUGAUAUUCGGUCUAUUUUUCUACGAUGAAGGCACA